CAACCCUCAGGACUCGCUCCUGGCGUUGGGGAUCAGCGUAGGCGCGGGGGCAACCCCGCCUGCUGUCCCUGAAAUUCAGUGGCGGUCCGGCCCUGGACUCCCUGGCGUAGUAAUCUUACCACCUCGCCUGCGGAAGAAAGGCCUGACCACGCCGUAAAACCCCCUACUUCUUAGU
rnacentral:misc_RNA from 1 species